rnacentral:rRNA from 1 species
AUUGAACGCUGGCGGCAUGCCUUACACAUGCAAGUCGAACGGCAGCACGGGAGCAAUCCUGGUGGCGAGUGGCGAACGGGUGAGUAAAGUAUCGGAACGUGCCCAGUCGUGGGGGAUAACGUAGCGAAAGUUACGCUAAUACCGCAUACGAUCUAUGGAUGAAAGCGGGGGAUCGCAAGACCCCGCGCGAUUGGAGCGGCCGAUAUCAGAUUAGGUAGUUGGUGGGGUAAAGGCUCACCAAGCCGACGAUCUGUAGCUGGUCUGAGAGGACGACCAGCCACACGGGGACUGAGACACGGCCCAGACUCCUACGGGAGGCAGCAGUGGGGAAUUUUGGACAAUGGGCGAAAGCCUGAUCCAGCCAUGCCGCGUGCAGGAUGAAGGCCUUCGGGUUGUAAACUGCUUUUGUACGGAACGAAAAGGUUUGGCCUAAUAAGCUGAGCUCAUGACGGUACCGUAAGAAUAAGCACCGGCUAACUACGUGCCAGCAGCCGCAGUAA